GACGAACGCUGACAGAAUGCUUAACACAUCAGCAAUUGAUUGGUGGCGGACGGGUGAGUAACGCGUGAAGAACUUGCCUCACAGCUAGGGACGAAUUUUAGAAAUGAAUGCUAAUACAUGACACUGUGUGAGAGCGUUGCGUACCUUUAGCUAGUUGGCGAGGUAACAGCUCACCAAGGCGAUGAGGGGUAGCCGGCCUGAGAGGGUGAACGGCCACAAGGGGACUGGGACACGGCACUUACGCCUACGGGGGGAAGCAGUGAGGAAUGAUGGACAAUGGACCGAAGGCUGAUCCAGCAAUUCGGUGUGCACGAUGAAGUUUUCGGAAUGUAAAGUGUUUUCAGUUGGGAAGCGGUACCAACAGAAGAAGUGACGGCUAACUACGUGCCAGCAGCCGCGGUAAUUC
rnacentral:rRNA from 1 species